rnacentral:tmRNA from 1 species
GGGGGCGUAAGGGCUUCGACGGGGAUGUUGAAGCACGAUAAGCGGGUAGCGGACCGUAGCCGCUUAAAAAUACGGAAACUUAAAUUUAAACGCUGAAGAUAAUUUAGCAGUAGCCUAACGGCUACGAAAGACGCCUCAUUUAAGGCGUCCGUCCUCCUCGGGGUUACCGCGUACCGGGGCAGGGCGUCAUUAAAGCGGUGAACGUGACAUCGGCAAAGCUUUGAGCCAUGCAUGACAAAUGAAGCUACCUGUCAUAAAAUGUGUGCAGUCUCUCUUUUAUGACGGGGAAUCUUAAAUGACUGCUGCACCCGGAGAAAGUUGUGUGGAUAUGUUUUCGGACGCGGGUUCAACUCCCGCCGUCUCCAUC